GUAUUGGUCAACAGUCACUGUUCCUGUGUAGCUGGAUGUGGAAUGUGCAACCACUUAGUUGCUUUGUUAUAUCAAACAGCCCAUUACUCUGUAAGUGGUAUGUCAGUCGUACCUCCUGUCCUUGCCUGUACACAAACCGAACAGAAGUGGCAUAAACCCCGAUCAUUGGGAGUGAAGCCAGGACCUGUCGACACCAUGGUUGUCAGAAAGGCCAAACCAGGUGCUACCACAGCCAGUGGAAUUAGAUCUAAACUUUACAAGGGCUACAGUGGUGAU